rnacentral:rRNA from 1 species
GACGAACGCUGGCGGCGUGCUUAACACAUGCAAGUCGAACGGUGAAGCGCCUUCCUUUUUGGUGGGUGUGGAUGAGUGGCGAACGGGUGAGUAAGACGUAAGUAACCUGCCCCCUUCUUCUGGAUAACGGCAUGAAAGUGUGGCUAAUACGGGAUAUUCUGGGUCUGUCGCAUGAUGGGUCUGGGACAGAUAUUGUUUCGGUGGGGGCUGGGUUCGCGGCCGAUCAGCUUGUUGGUGCGGUGAUGGCCUACCAGGGCGGUGACGCGUAGCCGGCCUGGGAGGGUGGACGGCCACACAGGGUCGGAGGCACGGCCAGGACUCCUACAGGAGGCAGCAGUGUGGAAUAGGGAACAGUGGGCACAAGCCUGAAGCAGCGACGCGGCGGGAGGGAUGGAGGCCUGCGGGUUGUGAACCGCUUUCGGCAGUGAAGCAGGCCUGCCUCGUAUGUGGGUGGGUUGACGGUAGCUGGAUAAGAAGCGCCGGCUAACUACGUG